UACGGAGGAUCCGAGCGUUAUCCGGAUUUACUGGGUGUAAAGGGAGCGUAGACGGUUGUAUAAGUCUGGAGUGAAAGCCCGGGGCCCAACCCCGGGACUGCUUUGGAAACUGUGUAACUUGAGUACAGGAGGGGCAGGCGGAAUUCCUGGUGUAGCGGUGAAAUGCGUAGAUAUCAGGAGGAACACCGGUGGCGAAGGCGGCCUGCUGGACAGUAACUGACGUUGAGGCUCGAAAGCGUGGGGAGCAAACAGG
rnacentral:rRNA from 1 species